CUACGGGUUGCUGCAGUGGGGAAUAUUGGACAAUGGGGGAAACCCUGAUCCAGCAAUGCCGCGUGUGUGAAGAAGGCCUGCGGGUUGUAAAGCACUUUCGGUUGGGAGGACUGCUUCUAGCACUAAUAUUGUUGGAAGUUGACGUUACCUUCGGAAGAAGCACCGGCUAACUCCGUGCCAGCAGCCGCGGUAAUACGGAGGGUGCAGGCGUUAAUCGGAAUUACUGGGCGUAAAGCGCGCGUAGGCGGCUAGAUCAGUCGGGUGUGAAAGCCCCGGGCUUAACCGGGGAACUGCAUCCGAUACUGUCUAGCUUGAGUACAGGAGAGGGGAGGGGAAUUCCACAUGUAGCGGUGAAAUGCGUGGAUAUGUGGAGGAACACCAAUGGCGAAGGCAGCUCUCUGGCCUGAUACUGACGCUGAGGUGCGAAAGCGUGGGGAGCAAACAGGAUUAGAUACCCCAGUAGUC
rnacentral:rRNA from 1 species